rnacentral:rRNA from 1 species
CUGCUGCCUCCCGUAGGAGUCUGGGCCGUGUCUCAGUCCCAGUGUGGGGGGCCUUCCUCUCAGAACCCCUACGCAUCGUCGCCACGGUGGGCCGUCACCCCGCCGUCUAGCUAAUGCGCCGCAUGCCCAUCCGCCACCGGAUCGCUCCUUUGGCCACCGGAGGAUGCCCUCCGGUGGCGUCACGGGGUAUUAGGCCGCGUUUCCGCGGGUUAUCCCCCUGUGGCGGCCAGGUUGCAUACGUGUUACUCACCCGUGCGCCGGUCGCCGG